AUUGAACGCUGGCGGCGUGCCUAAUACAUGCAAGUCGAGCGAAGCGGCGGAUGGGUGAGUAACGCGUGGGUAACCUGCCCUUAAGUCUGGGAUACCAUUUGGAAACAGAUGCUAAUACCGGAUACUAAAGGAUGGACCUGCGAUGCAUUAGCUAGUUGGCAAGGUAACGGCUUACCAAGGCGAUGAUGCAUAGCGGGUUUGAGAGGCUGAUCGGCCACAGUGGAACGGAGACACGGCCCAAACUCCUACGGGAGGCAGCAGUAGGGAAUCUUCGACGAUGGACGAAAGUCUGAUAGAGCAACGCCGCGUGAGUGAAGAAGGUUUUCGGAUCGUAAAGCGCUGUUGUUGGUGAAGCGGUAAUCAACCAGAAAGUCACGGCUAACUACGUGCCAGCAGCCGCGGUAAUAC
rnacentral:rRNA from 1 species